CAGUAUGACAACGCAAGGCUUAAAGAUCAUCAUGGUGUUCUCGAGAUUAAAAAUGUUGAGGUUAAUGAAGCUCUGGAAGUAAUGCACGCCAAUGAUUCUUCCAAUGAUGAGGAAACAUACGACGCUUCCUAACGAUCGUGACGAGUAGUUGAUAUUUUAAAAAUUAUUUCGCCACUCUCGGCAUUACCUUCUCAAGGGCUGGUAGUUAUCAAGCACUACAAUCUUCUCAAAAGAUUUACAUUGUUCAAGAAUGGCUUCACCAAAAGAAAUCAACGAUUCCAAGAAUGAUUCAAAGAGCAUUGGUCCUGUACGUCACACAACCAUGAUUCGUGGCGGUGCAUGUGUUCCUUACACUCUCAUUCGUCG